GCGCCUGCCAUGGAAAUUAAGAUGGUUUAGAAAAAGAUACACACAUUUAGUGCAAGAAAAACUUUUAACCAUACAAAUCAUGACACUGCCUGUUUGUUAAACUGAACCUGGAACUCGUUUAAAUCCACAAUGAAGUCUUAAACAGGACAUCAAAUAACUUGUUAAACUACAGAGCUCAACAAUAAGGAUGACCUGCUGCCAGAGUUUUAAUCAGUCAGAACUGAAAAUCCCAUUCCUCAAUAUUGCUAAUCCAUUUACUGUCUUGGUAACUCAAAUAUUUGGUUGUCUCUCAUGUAUUCUACAUUCUACAUUUGUCACCAUGACCAUGUUGUGAGUAGAUCUUGUUAUAUGUUAUAUGUUUGUGUUCCUGUAGCUCAACUGGUAGAGCAAGUGCCUUAUCAAGGUUGGGGGUUCGAUUCCCAGGGAACACAUGACAGCGUUCCUCUCUCCUCCAAGGCGAAUAAGAAGCCGCUGCUGUAUGUGAGUACACUGCCACAGAGAGUCAACACAUUCAGAUUGGGACUGGACAUCUUCACUAUCCUGUGUCAGAGUGUGAAAAUGAGGAAGAAGAGCGCCAGCAGAAUCCCAGAAGAGAGGAGCGUCCAGACUACAGCACGGAGAGCAGGAGACGGAGAUCGACUCGGUGCAUCCACACCCCGCUACACACAGACAAACAGCACAAUACAAUCAAUCUAUACACUACUCUAUGGUUUUUAAUGUUCUUUAACGUUUCUUACGCUUACCAAGGCUGCAUUUAUUUGAUAAAAAAAGCAUUAAAGACAGUAAUAUUGUUAUUUAAACACUGUUUUCUAUGUAAAUAUAUAUUUAAAUUGUAAGUAUUUCUGUGAUGCAAAGCCCAUUUUUCAGCAUCAUUACUCCAGUCUUCAGUGUCACAUGAUCCUUCAGAAAUCAGUCUGACAUGCUGAUUUGAUCCUCAAGAAACAUUUCUGAUUAUAAAUUUUAAAAACUGAUGUGCUGCUUAAUAUUUUUUUAUGGAAACUG